rnacentral:tRNA from 1 species
AUCAUGCAGGUGCAGAUAAAAGCUUCUAACUUCAUAUCUGAAAGGUUCGCCUCCUUUCAUGAUUUA